GCUUCUUGUCUCACCUAAAACAGAGACUCCAGGAUCAGAGCUGGGGGAGGGAGCAGAGCCAAUUUGCUGAUGUCUUGGGAGAAUAAAGCCACAUGCAGAGCAAACUAGAGAGUGGAAACCCAGCCCAAUCCAUGAUUCUACCCCGCUCCAUCCCCAUCCUUACUCCAAAUGAAGCCCAGGAUCAGUGCUACCUACCUGGCCACGCAGCAGUGGCUGUGGGUGCCUAGGCUACCAUUGCCCAGGACUCCUGUGCUGUCUCUUCCAGCGGGGAGCAAACAUGGGGAACCGAAAUGUUUGAGAAGAGUGCCUAAGAUGUGCCAAGCACAGGACAAGUAACAAUG